rnacentral:rRNA from 1 species
UACGUAGGGGGCAAGCGUUGUCCGGAUUUAUUGGGCGUAAAGAGCGUGUAGGCGGUUUGGUAGGUCCGCUGUGAAAACUCGAGGCUCAACCUCGAGACGCCGGUGGAAACCAUCAGACUAGAGUCCGGAAGAGGAGAGUGGAAUUCCUGGUGUAGCGGUGAAAUGCGCAGAUAUCAGGAAGAACACCCGCGGCUAAGGCGGCUCUCUAGUACGGUACUGACGCUGAGACGCGAAAGCGUGGGGAGCGAACAGG